CUACGGGGCGCACCAGUGGGGAAUCUUAGACAAUGGGCGCAAGCCUGAUCUAGCCAUGCCGCGUGAGUGAUGAAGGCCUUAGGGUCGUAAAGCUCUUUCGCCUGUGAAGAUAAUGACUGUAGCAGGUAAAGAAACCCCGGCUAACUCCGUGCCAGCAGCCGCGGUAAUACGGAGGGGGUUAGCGUUGUUCGGAAUUACUGGGCGUAAAGCGCGCGUAGGCGGACAUUUAAGUCAGAGGUGAAAUCCCAGGGCUCAACCCUGGAACUGCCUUUGAUACUGGGUGUCUUGAGUUCGAGAGAGGUGAGUGGAAUUCGGAGUGUAGAGGUGAAAUUCGUAGAUAUUCGGAGGAACACCAGUGGCGAAGGCGGCUCACUGGCUCGAUACUGACGCUGAGGUGCGAAAGUGUGGGGAGCAAACAGGAUUAGAUACCCGAGUAGUC
rnacentral:rRNA from 1 species